AUGGACAGCCAGGGCAGGAAGGUGGUGGUGUGUGACAAUGGCACUGGGUUUGUGAAGUGUGGAUAUGCAGGCUCUAACUUUCCAGAACACAUCUUCCCACCUUUGUUUGGAAGACCUAUUAUCAGAUCAACCACCAAUGUGGGAAACAUUGAAAUCAAGGAUCUCAUGGUUGGCGAUGAGGCAAGUGAGCUGUGCUCCAUGUUGGAAAUGAACUACCCAAUGGAGAAUGGCAUCGUGCAGAACUGGGAUGACAUGAAGCACCUGUGGGACUACACAUUUGGACCAGAGAAACUCAAUAUAGACACCAGAAACUGCAAAAUUGUACUUACAGAACCUCCCAUGAAUCCAAUCGAAAACAGAGAGAAGAUUGUGAAACUUAACCAGUUUUCUGGUGUAUAUGUAGCCAUCCAAACAGUUCUGACUUUGUAUGCUCAAGGUUUACUGACUGGUGUGGUAAUGGACUCUGGAGAUGGUGUCACUCACAUUUGCCCAGUAUAUAAAGGCUGUUCCCUCCCUCACCUUACAAGGAGGCUGGAUAUUGCUGGGAGGGAUAUUACCAGGUAUCUUAUCAAGCUGCUGCUGUUGCGAGGAUAUGCAUUCAACCAUUCUGCUGAUUGAGACAGUUCUCAUGAUUAAAGAAAAACUUUGUUAUGUGGGUUAAAAUAUUGAACAAGAGCAGAAGCUGGCCUUAGACACAACAGUGCUAGUUGAGUCAUAUACUCUUCCAGAUGGACAUAUUAUUAAGGUUGGAGGAGAAAAAUUUGAAGCACCAGAAGCUUUAUUUCAGCCUCAUUUGAUCAAUGUUGAGGGGGUUGGUGUUGCUGAAUUGCUUUUUAACACAAUCCAGGCAGCCGACAUUGAUACCAGAUCUGAAUUUUACAAGCACAUUGUGCUUUUUGGAGGUUCUACCAUGUAUCCUGGCCAGCCAUUGAGGUUGGAACGAGCUUAA